UGUGUCCCACAGUUCCAACUCU
rnacentral:miRNA from 1 species